rnacentral:tRNA from 1 species
UUUAGGGAGACCAUCUGAUACUCGACCGAACCUAAACAAUAGGUCGUUGUCAGUCAUCCCUGGUCGUUCGAGGAAUAGAUGUCAAAGCUUUCAAACUAUUAACUGGUUCGGAACUCGCGGGCUAUUAGCUCAGUUGGUUAGAGCGCACCCCUGAUAAGGGUGAGGUCCCUGGUUCAAAUCCAGGAUGGCCCACCUGGAAAAAAGUGAUGAAUUGUCAGUAAUGAGUAAUGGAUAAUCUUAGAUUAAUUCAGGACUCAUCAAAUCAAAAUCAGAACUUGCUUAGUGGGGGUAUAGCUCAGUUGGUAGAGCGCCUGCCUUGCACGCAGGAAGUCAGCGGUUCGAGUCCGCUUACCUCCACUCUCACUAACUAGAACCAACAAAAAAACGCAAAGAAAUAGAAAUCAGCACCCAGACUAACUUGGUAAAAAAAGAAGUCGGAAUGCUGGAGUCUAGAACUCUAGUCAGAACCUUGAAAACUGCAUAGAAAUUAAGUCAUCAAAGCGUGUCAGUCAUCCGAGCAAUCGGAGCAUCUGACAAGCGACCACCAUCAAAAAAUCAAGUGUCAA